UUCCUUUCAUUUUACUCUGUGGACUCGCCCUGAAUUCUCUCUUGCACGAGAUCCAACAACCCUCUCUUGAGGUUUGGACUGGGACCCCUUUCUGGUCCGGCCCAGAGGGGAAAUGGAAAGAAGUCAGGAUCCAGAACAGUAAGGUCUGCAGAUGUCUGGGCAGUUUGCUGGAACACAACUGGGGUUAUAUCUGCAAAUGCUAGGGCCCAUCUACACACAGCAAAAUAUCUCACAAUGAAUUCCCAUCCACAGCCUCAGCAAUGGGCUGGUGUGUCCCCAGAGAAUGUCAGCUGAUUGGACAGCAGUCUGCAGGAGAAGGUGAAUCCCCUAAUUUGGAAGGAACUGAAGCAUGAAAAGAUGCUGAGAUCACAAUGAAAACAGACAAAGUCUUCUGGGGAUGAAAUGUUAAAAAGGGGAGAUGUGCAAGGAACACAGGAAGAAUAAGUUCAGGAGAUCUGUUAUACAACAUGGGGAUGAUAGUUAAUAACAAUGCAUGGUACAUUUGGGGAUUGCUAAAGGAACACCUUGUAAAGAUUUCCACCCUUCCUCUUGAAUGAUAAGUAUGAAAUGUGACGGAUAUAUUUCUUAGCUUGAUGUAGCUGUUCCACCGUGUGUGCAUAUAUCAAAACAUCACGUUGUAUCCCAU
rnacentral:lncRNA from 10 species